GAAAGAUGAAUGGCCUUUGCAGAAGGGCAAUGUGGGAUGCAUCCUAAGUCUUACACUGCAACUCAGAUGAUAUAGAAAAAAAGUUUACUUUCCUUUAGUCUUAUAAUCUAAUAUCGCUCCCAAAUCUCCAUUCACUGGUGACAAGGAGAAAAAAAUUAAUUAGUUUCAAUCUCAUUUAAACUUAAUCCAAUCUGACAUUUUAAAUAUACUCUUAGGAAGUAGUUGGUCUCUAUUGGAUAAAAAAAUGCUUGAUCACUAAGACAGCCUCUCCUUCCCCUGCUUCUGUCCCCAAAAAUAAGGUGGUGAGAAUGUAUGCUCCUAUAAUCUUCUGGCAUUGAGAAGAGACUCUAGCCUCAUGCUGCUUUUCCUUGUUGUGGUGGCUGCCACGUGCUGGUCUCUGGAGCACUGCCCUUUGUGCACCCAAUUGCUGAACAUUCUGCAGGAUACUGCUACUGAAAUGACUAGUUAAUAUGGAGUCUAGACUUUUGGCAGGAACAAUGUUCCUGAGCUAUUGAUGAUGUACCAAGAAUUCUUCUGGCUGCAGAACACUGAGCUUACUAUCACAUCUUCCACCUCAAAAGUUGGCCCAGCAGGUCCAGUUCAGAGUUGAGUCAACUCAGUCUGCUUCUGUAGGCAUAUGGCAGCCCCCUGGGCUUCAACUAAGCAUCCACAGCAAAUAAAAACUCAGAGCAUCUUUGUAAAGACCUUUAGCCUGAAGAGGUUAAGGAGGUUUGAAAAUCAGAAGGAGACGGACUGGAAGAAAACUGCCUGGUCACAUCACAUCAUACUGGUCUUGGAUUCUCACAGAAGCAUCCUUAGUUAUUGUUAAAAUCCGUUACUGUAAUUAAAAAUCUGACAUUUUGGAA